UACGUAGGGGGCAAGCGUUGUCCGGAAUUAUUGGGCGUAAAGGGCUCGUAGGCGGUUUGUCGCGUCGGGCGUGAAAACCCAGGGCUUAACCCUGGGCUGGCUUCCGAUACGGGCAGACUAGAGGUAUGCAGGGGAGAACGGAAUUCCUGGUGUAGCGGUGAAAUGCGCAGAUAUCAGGAGGAACACCGGUGGCGAAGGCGGUUCUCUGGGCAUUACCUGACGCUGAGGAGCGAAAGUGUGGGGAGCGAACAGG
rnacentral:rRNA from 1 species